rnacentral:rRNA from 1 species
UCAGAUUGAACGCUGGCGGCAGGCCUAACACAUGCAAGUCGAGCGGUAACAUUUCUAGCUUGCUAGAAGAUGACGAGCGGCGGACGGGUGAGUAAUACUUGGGGAUCUGCCUGAUGGCGGGGGACAACCACUGGAAACGGUGGCUAAUACCGCAUAAUGCCUACGGGCCAAAGUGUGGGACCUUCGGGCCACAUGCCAUCAGAUGAACCCAAGCGAGAUUAGCUAGUUGGUGAGGUAACGGCUCACCUAGGCGACGAUCUCUAGCUGGUCUGAGAGGAUGAUCAGCCACACUGGGACUGAGACACGGCCCAGACUCCUACGGGAGGCAGCAGUGGGGAAUAUUGGACAAUGGGCGCAAGCCUGAUCCAGCCAUGCCGCGUGUGUGAAGAAGGCCUUCGGGUUGUAAAGCACUUUCAGUGGUGAGGAAGGCGUUGUAGUUAAUAGCUGCAACGAUUGACGUUAGCCACAGAAGAAGCACCGGCUAACUCCGUGCCAGCAGCCGCGGUAAUACGGAGGGUGCGAGCGUUAAUCGGAAUUACUGGGCGUAAAGCGCACGUAGGCGGUUUGUUAAGCAAGAUGUGAAAGCCCAGGGCUCAACCUUGGAAUUGCAUUUUGAACUGGCAAGCUAGAGUUUUGAAGAGGGUGGUAGAAUUUCCAGUGUAGC